rnacentral:rRNA from 1 species
UACGGGGGGGGCAAGCGUUGUUCGGAAUUACUGGGCGUAAAGGGCUCGUAGGUGGCCAACUAAGUCCGACGUGAAAUCCCUCGGCUUAACCGGGGAACUGCGUCUGAUACUGGAUGGCUUGAGUUUGGGAGAGGGACGCGGAAUUCCAGGUGUAGCGGUGAAAUGCGUAGAUAUCUGGAGGAACACCGGUGGCGAAGGCGGCGUCCUGGGCCAACACUGACACUGAGGAGCGAAAGCCAGGGGAGCAAACGGG